UGUGUGUUUGCCCAAUUCCUGAGCUCCAUUGGAUGUAAGUGAAGCGUUAAAAAAAAAAGGACACGAACAGGAGGCAGAGAAGGUCCACAACUAAACUGCAGGAAUAGUCAUUGUUCUUACAGAUUCUAUAGCUUCAACUUCAACUGAAACACCUUGAAGCAAGCAUGCUCUGCCUCUAUUUUGCGGGGUCAGUUUCCUCACAGUGAUGUUGUACAAUAGUCUCCUAUUAUGAGACGAAAGAGGCAGAAACAGGUGCUACGGGAUACUGAGUGUUUUCAAAUUUAAGUGUGUUUUAACAAAUUUAAAUAUAUUUUUAACACCUCUAGAUGGGUUUAAUGAAUGUGGGAAUGGGUGAACUACUUAAAAACAACAUUGACCUAGCCUAACCCUGUCUUCGGGCAGCAGGCGGGGGACACCCUGAACUGGUUGCCAGCCAAUCGCAAGGCACACAUAGACGAACAACCAUCCGUGCUCACACUCACACCUCGGGACAACUUAGAGUGUUCAAUCAGCCUGCCAUGCACGUUUUUGGAAUGUGGGAGGAAACCGCAGUACCCGAAGAAAACCCACGUAGGCACGGGAGAACAUGCAAACUCCACACAGGGAGGCCGGAGCCAGGAUUGAACCCGUGCACCUCUGCCCGACGACGCGCUAACCAAUCGACCACUGGACCACCCUUACUCUCUCUCUCCAUCUCUCUCUCUAUCACGUUAUAUAGAUGCAAUGUACAAAAAAACAAAACAAAAAAACAUGAUCAUUUGAGAGUAAAAAUACACACUCACUGUGAUCAAGUGUAAAAAUACACACACGCUCACUGGGAAUUGAAGCUGCUGUAAGUUGUGCUUGACAGUCAUCCAACUUGACGCCGUCUGAUUUUUUUUACACACCGUGGAAAUUUAUAGUGCAUUUGCUCGUCCCGUAGUUGUUUUUAUGAGGCCAACUGUGCCUGAUUACGAGGCCCUAAACGUGGGGUGGGUGGGGUUAAGUGCCAUCCAAAGGUCAAGAGGGGGUUUUAGGACCACGGAUGAUGCAGCUGAACACGUAAAUCACAUGAAGGAAGCAUGUCGGCAGGAGGAAAGUGAAUACCGUGUAGGGAAGCAAAUGGAGCAUUUCAUGCCCCCUCUGCUAUGUGUAAAACUGCCGGCGAAAGGCUGUAGAGCGGCGCCACGAAAGCUCUCGGAGGGAAGGGAGAGCGCAACUGGCAGACAACCCUGUCGUGGACCUCUGUGACUGUCUCCUGGUUGCCUCACUAUAAAGGAAGACGCACCAACAACCAUCAAUCAUCAUCCAUAAACUGACAAAUGUUUUUGUUUUUUUUGCUGUAAGAUGACCCAAUGUUUAAAACCGAUUCCGCGCUCCUCCUACAGUUCUAUUUAACUACUUUUAAUACUCAGCAAAUUAAAUUUAUAGCACCAGAUUUUUUUAUUUUUUUUUGCAUGACAGUAACUUCAAAAAGUAUCACUUGAAUUAUUAGUCAUACACCAAUUCAAAGUAAUUUAUUUAACAAAACAAAUUGUGUUGGUAUUACAAUUAUUACUGUUGCGAUGAGCUUGAUAAUGACUAUUUGGAUUAUUCUUUUUUUAGAAACACAAAUGGUUAGUAAAUAAUUGCAUUUUAUUUAGAUUUAUUUUUCUUUUCAGAGAGGACUCAAAGGGCUUCACAUUGUUAUAGAAUAUAGUCAUACAUAUUGUAUGGAAGUGAUCAUUUUACAUGUUGCUGUAAAUACAAGAAAAAACACAAAUGAAAGAAAAAGAAAAAUGAAAAUGAAAAAAAGAAACCCAACACAUUAAAAUGAAAUUACCGUAAAUAAAAUUGAUAAAAACAGUAUGUAUUCAUUUAUACUGGAUCAGUUUCAAUUGAAUUAUUGUAUUUUUCGGGACUAUAAAUUGCACUCUUUUUUCAUAGUUUGGCAGGUCCACCAAACUGCAGGUGCAACUUAAAUAUGUCAAAUUUAGAGCUUGGACUAACCCAAAAUCUGUAUGUGUUCCUUAUUCAUUUUGUCUUACUUUUGGUGCGUUACUGCCACCUUCUGGUUACUGGUAGGAAUUCACCUUAUGAGUCAUCAACCGCCAAAAGAAAGUUGACGACGAUAUGGAAGUGGAAGAAGAAGCAGUAUGUAUGGUGCCGGAUGUGUUGUGUACCGCUAGUUUAGCAUGUGGCUUUCUUACGGCACAUCAAGGAUUUGCAUCCCUAAAAGAUGCAAUAACCAACCACAAUGUGAUGAGGGAUUCUACAUAAGGCAAGCAAUUUUAACCCUGAGAACCCAAGAACCCUUUUCUUCUUUGGAAAAUGAUGACUUAUACAUUAAAUGACUGCUAUAUGUUCACUGAACACCAAAAUAUGUUUUUUCAAAUAUUCAAUACUUUAAUCCUAAUUUAGGAUUAGGGCCAAAUUUGACCCGUUUGGGAUUUAAGGGUAGCAUUUGAGUAGCAGAAUUUAUAGGGGCCAAAUUGAUCCUGUGGGUUCUCCAGGGUUAAAAUGAAAAGAAAAACUUAGUUAAAAUUGGAAGUGUCGUCCAACCAGAAUUUGUUGGAUUUUGUUGAAAUUUACUCUGAUGCCCUGACACCACUCUUUGAGUAUAGACACAGAGCGCGCUCCUCUCCCAUUAAUUUACGAACAUGUGUAUUUUAAAACAAUCAGCAACCUGUGCUUGAACUGUUUCCAUUUGUACUACCUGAUGCAUUGGAUUUUGGCACGCUUUUUUGGGGGGGCGGGAGGGGGGGUCACUCUGAAUAACUGAAAGGCAAAUUUGUCAACGGUGGGAGUGAAACAGUGCACACUGGAGAAUAUUUCCAAACACACCCACAAUGAGAGAACAGGGCUCCACAGUUCUUGGUCUCGGUUUUUGUAAAAUAAAUUUCACCCCCAAAAUCCGACUUGUGCUCCGAAGCUACUUAUAGCCAGAGCUACAGUAUAUUAACUUAAAGUAAAUUUAAUACAAUUAAAAGUGAGGCGGGUAACACGGUGGGCGACUGGUUAGGGCGUCGGCCUCACAGUGCAAAGGUGCAAGGUUUGAUUCCAACUCCGGCCUUCCUGUUUCUCCCCGUCCCUGCGUGGGUUUUCUCCGGGUAUUCCGGUUUCCUCACACAUUUCAAAAGCAUGCUUGGCAGGUUAAUAGAACACUCUAAGUCUAAAAUGUGUGAGGCCAGAUGGUUGUUUUGUCUGUGUGCCCUGCGAUUGGCUGGCAACCAGUUCAGGGUGGGCCCCGCCUAGUCUCUGAAGACGGCUGAGAGAGACUCCAGCACGCCUGCGACCCUUGUGAGGGUAAGCGGAUUAAAAAAUGGACGGAUGGAUAAAAUGAGGGGAGUACUACAACAACACUAUGUGAUUCGCAAAAAGAUCGUGCCUAGUUGUGCUUGAUGUCACCAUGAAGUGAGCCUCGCAUCACACUGGCCUCCAUCCUGUCUGCCGCCCGAUCCUCCCUCUGUGGCUCCAAAGAUCCUGUCCAUGUUGUCCUGGCUGACAUGCAUUAAUCAUAAGAGCAGCGGCUUCUUGAACCGGCCUUACGUAAGCACGCCGGUGUCUUGACUGCAGCCGCCGACCCGUAGUUUCCAUCUUCGCCACAGCCUUGCCCACCUUAACACAACACGAAUUACAUUUAGACGCUUUCUAUCGUCAAUGCAGAGACUUCCACAUUAUAAAUUUAUUUUUAAAAAAUCACAUUUCCCCUGAAAAUUUCCUAUGUUACCCUUAUUUAUAUACACAUUUUCUCAGAAAAUUGCUUUCUCCAUAAUAAUACUUAGUAUUAUUUUUACCCAUAUUAUUAUUUCAUUAUUAUUAUGAUGGGAAGUUGCGUCCACAGCGUCAUUAAGCCAGGUAGUUGAGUUAAUCGAAUGUAAUUAAAUCUGCUCAAUCCCCUCAAGAUCGCCCCACUGUCAUGCAUCUUUGCACACAGAGGGGCGGUAAUGCGACAACCUUGGCCACCUCUUUUUCCUCUCUCUCAUUUGUCUGUGUGUGUGUGUGUGUCUGUGUGUGUGUGUGUGUGUGUGUCACUGUUCCUAUUCCCUGAGUCUUCGGGGGUUUGAAUAGAUCCGGUAUUUAUUUCAACUCCUCCCCAAUUAUUCAGCCAGAUUGACAGGCUGUGAAUGUGUUGUUGAGAGAUUUUCGCAACAACUUUGAACCAAUGUGGUUAUUGCCUUUCCAACCCUCUGCACCUUUUUUUAUGCAUUUCUUUCCCUCAUCACCAUCUAUGUCCAUUGUAAAGUAAUACCGGAGCCAUAAAAGCUGCUAGAAGAGAUGUGGUAGUCCAUUAACAAAAGACUGGCCAGAAGAAUUCCAUUUCCUCCUCCUUUCUGGUCUUCUUCAUAUGCAUCAAACAUUUCAUUAUGAACUGCCUGAAUCACAGUUUUACAGCUGGAUUCACUCACGAAACAGCGGGAUGUUUGCCGAUUACUAUUACAGUACUAUAUAUACUAUUUAUUGGAAAUUAUUUUUCACACAUGACAAAAUGACAGCUAGCAGACCCCCGGUGGCUCUGAGGAUCCCAAUUUGAGAACCAGAUGCUUAAAAGCUUUGAUUCAAGUGUAAUUUAGCAACAUCUUCACCAAGGUCAAUACGAUACUGUACUCAAACUACGCUGGCAACCAAUGACGUAUAUUGGAAUGCAUGAGGAUUUCUUUGCUUACAAAGCAGCUGAGGGAACAUCAUAGUGGAAAACAAAAGUCUGCACACCCCCAGCUCAAUAAAACCAAGGUAAAUGUGUUCAGAACUUUGCCACCAUGAAUGUAAACUAUAACCUGUACAACUCAAUUGGGGGGGAAAAAAUGGGAAAUACGAAAUAUUUUUGGAGGUGAAGCAAAAAUAAAUGUGAUUGCAUAUGUGUGCACACCCUUCAGCAAUCACAUUAAAAUUCAUGUAAAUUGGGAGUUAUCACACACCAGUCACUAUUUAUAUUGACCAAACAAAGUUCAGCUGUUCUAAUAGUCUGUGUUCUUUUUUUGUUGCUAUUUUGCAGAAGCCAGAGGGUUUUGUGUUCACACUGACUGCUAUUUUGAACUGUUCAUAAUUCCCUCCACCUUGUGUCAAUGUAGCUACAAUAUCGAGUUCUUUUGGUAAAGGGUUGCUUAUAAUUGAGCUCUUUUAAAGCAUUUAAAAACUAUGUUCCUUUUUUUCUCUUUGUAAUUUUGUAAGCAUGCUUACUUCUUGACCUUGUUUGUAAAUGUUCUUUGAAAUGUACUUUUUAUCAUGUAAAAGCUGCUUUGCCUUG